UACGUAGGGUCCAAGCGUUGUCCGGAUUUAUUGGGCGUAAAGAGCUCGUAGGCGGCUUAGUAAGUCGGAUGUGAAAACUCGGGGCUCAACCCCGAGACGCCAUCCGAUACUGCUGUGGCUUGAGUCUGGUAGGGGAACACGGAAUUCCUGGUGUAGCGGUGAAAUGCGCAGAUAUCAGGAGGAACACCGGUGGCGAAGGCGGGUCUCUGGGCCGUAACUGACGCUGAGGAGCGAAAGCGUGGGGAGCGAACAGG
rnacentral:rRNA from 1 species